rnacentral:rRNA from 1 species
UACCUGCAGCUCAAGUGGUGACCGCUAUUAUUGGGCCUAAAACGUUCGUAGCCGGCUGAGUAAAUGCUUGGGUAAAUCGUGUAGCUUAACUAUACGAAUUCCGGGUAGGCUGCUUAGCUUGAGACCGGGAGAAGCUAGAGGUACUCCUGGGGUAGAGGUGAAAUUCUGUAAUCCUGGGGGGACCACCAGUGGCGAAGGCGUCUAGCUAGAACGGGUCUGACGGUGAGGGACGAAACCCUGGGGCGCAAACCGGAUUAGAUACCCGGGUAGUCCAGGGCGCAAACGCUGCUUGCUUGAUGUUAGUCGGGCUCCGAGCUCGGCUAGUGUCGGAGAGAAGUUGCUAAGCAAGCUGCCUGGGAAUACGAUCGCAAGAUUGAAACUUAAGGAAUUGGCGGGGGAGCACAGCAACGGGUGGAGCGUGCGGUUU